rnacentral:rRNA from 1 species
ACCGGCAGCUCAAGUGGUGGCCAUUUUUAUUGGGCCUAAAGCGUUCGUAGCCGGUUUGAUAAGUGACGGGGGAAAAGAGGGAGAAGAACUGUGGGACUUGCUGGAGAUACUAUUAGACUUGAGGUCGGGAGAGGUUAGGGGUACUCCCAGGGUAGGGGUGAAAUCCUAUAAUCCUGGGAGGACCACCUGUGGCGAAGGCGCCUAACUGGAACGCACCUGACGGUGAGUAACGAAAGCCAGGGGCGCGAACCG